GCCGGGGUGGCGGAACUGGUAGACGCGCUAGACUCAAAAUCUAGUGGUAGUAAUACCGUGUCGGUUCGAGUCCGACCCUCGGUACCA
rnacentral:tRNA from 1 species